rnacentral:rRNA from 1 species
CUACCAAGGCGACGAUCAGUAGGGGAGCUGAGAGGUUUUUCCCCCACACGGGCACUGAGACACGGGCCCGACUCCUACGGGAGGCAGCAGUAGGGAAUAUUGGGCAAUGGAUGGAAGUCUGACCCAGCCAUCCCGCGUGCCGGAAGACGGCCCUCAGGGUUGUAAACGGCUUUUGACGGUGAAGAAUAGGCGGGAUGCGUCCUGUUUUGACGGUAGCCGUUGAAUAAGCACCGGCUAACUCCGUGCCAGCAGCCGCGGUAAUACGGAGGGUGCGAGCGUUGUCCGGAUUUAUUGGGUUUAAAGGGUGCGUAGGCUGGGAGGUAAGUCAGCGGUGAAAAGCACACGCUUAACGGGUGUCUUGCCGCAGAUACUACUUUUCUUGGAUGAGGAGGAGGUCACUGGAACGGAUGGUGUAGCGGUGAAAUGCGUAGAUAUCAUCCAGAACACCGAUUGCGAAGGCAGGUGACUGUACCUUAAUCGACGCUGAGGCACGAAAGCGUGGGGAGCGAACAGGAUUAGAUACCCUGGUAGUCCACGCCGUAAACGAUGAGGACUAGCUGUUGGGCCUAUAGGGUUCAGUGGCAAAGGGAAACCGUUAAUCCUCCAC